GUUGAGAUGGUCGAGUUGUUCUAAAGUGUUAGAUUAAUGUUCUGGUCCGAAAGGGGGGUGUGGGUUCAAAUCCCAAUCUUAAUA
rfam:Ipomoea nil DNA, scaffold: scaffold0542, cultivar: Tokyo-kokei standard.